GACGAACGCUGGCGGCGUGCCUAAUACAUGCAAGUAGAACGCUGAAGGAGGAGCUUGCUUCUCUGGAUGAGUUGCGAACGGGUGAGUAACGCGUAUGUAACCUGCCUGUUAGCGGGGGAUAACUAUUGGAAACGCUAGCUAAUACCGCAUAAUAGUAGAUGUUGCAUGACAUUUGCUUAAAAGGUGCAAUUGCAUCACUACCAGAUGGACCUGCGUUGUAUUAUCUAGUUGGUGGGGUAACGGCUCACCAAGGCGACGAUACAUAGCCGACCUGAGAGGGGGAUCGGCCAAACUGGGACUGAGACACGGCCCAGACUCCUACGGGAGGCAGCAGUAGGGAAUCUUCGGCAAUGGACGGAAGUCUGACCGAGGAAAGCCGCGGGAGUGAAGAAGGGUUUCGGAUCGUAAAGCUCUGUUGUAAGAGAAGAAAGAGUGUGAGAGUGGAAAGUUCACAAUGUGACGGUAUCUUACCAGAAAGGGACGGCUAACUACGUG
rnacentral:rRNA from 1 species